AGCAUCAGCAAUAGACUUAGAGAUGGUAUAUAAAGGCCCUCUGUCCUAAAUAUCACCACAACUUGCUUGACCAUAUCAACGGACAGUGGAUCAGUACUGAAAAUGGGAAAGGUAAGAUUAUGUCACAAAAUGAUUAAUAUCUUACUGCAGAGGAAUUAUUUGUUAAAUUACAAACAAAGAGUUAAUAUUUCAAAGACAUGCUUUCAAUAAAAACAUAGGGACAUAGUAAAAUGGCUGCCAUUAACUGUCACUAUUAACAGCUGAUAGUCUGAAGUGGCUAAAAAUUGCCAUAAUAUUUCUAGCCUUGUAGCUAAAUUUUAGUAACACUUUCACUAAUAGCAGCUGCUGCGGCAGGUAUCAACCAGUCUUAUAUUAGUCUCUUGCUGGUAAAGCAAAGAAACACAUACCAGUAAAUUCACACUAGCUUCUUUAUGAACAGUAGUGACAGGUGAGAUUUAGCUGUCUUUAACCACUUUACUCCAAGCUAGAGGUAAUGGGAGCCACUAGUGACUACUUAUUGACUUGUGAAACUUCUCGGUCAGGAACUGCUCGUGAGGAGUUGCAACAUGCUACAAAGUAUUGACAAAAUUGCGAGAAGAUGUGAGUGGAUAAAAAGUUAAAAAAUGUAGGUAAAAUAACAGAAAAAAAAAUACUAUUCUUACUUCUUUCUGUACCUAUAUCUAGGUUCAGUUUAAAAGAAACCUUUUUUUUUUUUUCAUCUAUCUGCAGUUUAUUACUAAAGAAGUUCACUAUUAACUUUAACUUUCACUUUCCACUGGGAUAAAUCAUGAAAUUAGCCCUGGAACUUAGUUUGAGAUUGGUAAUAUUGAGUAUACCAAUCUCAAACUUAACGGACAUUAGAUAGCUAAUAUAAUGCUGGCUGCAGUAAGGGGGGAUAAUAGGAGCAUGGCAUUUCAGUAAUAUGAUUUAAAUUACUGCUAUGCCCCAGAUGUGUCUCACUCCCUGUCCCAACCUCUUUUUCUCUUGGUACCUGCCAAAGGACACGAGUAUGGAAAUAGAUGAAUGCGCUGCAAAACAAAAGAAGAAUACAUUACUUUAUAACCUAAUAUAUACAGUAAUCAAAUCAGCAUUACAUUAUAUUUGGCAAUAAACAGCACAAUGGGCUUUUCAUGUUAUAAUUGUAAAUCCAAAGCCCCAGAAUUAAACCCAUCGUCAUAGCUUUAGUGAUUAUAUCAUAUAUACAUUUGUGUAAUAGUCGAGCCCUUGUGAUCCUUGUUAUUUAUUAUGUUUGAUGCACUGCUGGCAACUAAAAAAAAUGUAUAAUAUAUAUUAAAAUUUAUAUAUAUAUUCUAAUGUGUAAUUCCAUUCAUAGAUUGUCUUCUACGAGGAUCGUAACUUUCAGGGACGCUCUUAUGAGUGCAGCUCUGAGUGUCAAGAUUUGACCUCAUAUUUUAAUCGUUGCAAUUCCAUCCGAGUGGAAAGUGGAAACUGGAUCCUGUAUGAGCACCCAAACUAUAGAGGACACCAGUAUUACCUUAGCAGGGGAGAAUAUCCUAAUUUCCAGAAAUGGAUGGGUUUCAAUGAUUCCAUCAGAUCUUGUCGUGUUAGCCCACAGGUAAAUACUUUUACCAGAGCAGUUAAGAAUUUUACAAAAAUAUUUUUAAAGAUGCACCCCCAAAAGAGCAUUCUUGGUUCCAAUCUAUGAUUAAUAAAGGUAUAACUUUUGAAAUUAUAACCUUGUUUUUUUGAAAAACAUUUUAAAUGUAUGUAUGUAAUGUUUUCUUAAUCAACUAAGUCAGCACUUACUUUCAUGGCCACAAGAGGGUCAGUGUCAAAAUUACACUCUCGGUGUAGGUUCUAGAUAUUCACAUGAAAUUAUGCAAGACUUUGUCAUACUAUCCGUGAAUUAUAAAUAUUUUUUAAUCUCAUAAAGCACCAUGGAUCAUUCAGAGUGAAGGUCUAUGAGAGGGAUGAUUUCAGAGGUCAGAUGAUGGAGUUCACUGAAGAUUGUCCUAAUACUCAUGAAAGAUUCCAUUACCAUGACAUCAACUCCUGCCAGGUGCUUGAUGGUUACUGGAUGUUCUAUGAGGACCCAAAUUUUAGGGGCCGACAGUAUUACCUGAAAUCUGGAGAGUACAGAAGAUAUUCUGACUGGGGUGCCAUGAACCCAAGAAUUGGCUCAUUCAGGAGACUCCACCAUUUCUAAUAUGUUAUAUAAAUUAAUGAAAUUACAUGUUAUUUAUAAUUCAAUAAACAAAUUAAACAGUUA